GUUUUGAUUUAACUACUAUUUUAUAAUGAUUGGCAGCUGAUAAAAACACCACCUAAUUCGUUAUCUGCGUCCAGCUUUGCUGAUAAAUACACCUGCCAUCCAUCUGAACUUUUCAUCCCCACUUCCCUUUAAAAAAAGUACAAAAAAAAAAAUCACCGCCAAAAAUAGGGAAGCUACCGGCAAGACUGAUAGAGGACAGGCUCAUCUCUCUCUUGAAGUCAUGUAAGAAUCUCCAAUGGAUCCACCAAAUCCAGGCCCAGAUCAUCGCCAACGGUCUCCAUCACGACCCAUUCCUCGCCCCCACGGUCGUCUCCUCCUCCUUCCAAGUGGGAAAUCCGGAGCUCGCCCGCCGAUGGUUCGACCGAGUUCUCCUCCCCAACACCGUUCUUUGGAACCUCAUGCUCAAAGGCUACACCGAGGCCGGGCUCCACGAGCAAACGCUCCAUCUGUUCAGCCUCAUGAACCGGAGCGGCGCGCGGCCGAGUCGCUACACCUUGCCUCUCGUCAUCAAGUCCUGCGCCGGCAUCCCCUCCCUGACGGUGGGCGAGCAGGUGCACUGCGUUGCAAUCAAAACCGGGUUUGAGACCAAUGCGUUCGUUGGCCCGGCAUUGAUCGAUAUGUACUCGGAUCGGGGUGUGGUCGGGGCUGCCCACAGGGUGUUCUCCCAAAUGCCUGUGAAAAAUGUGGUUGCUUGGACUGCUGUCGUCGCUGCGUUUCUCUCGGCAGGGGAUGUGAAGUCGGCAAGAGAGCUCUUUGAUCAGGCGGUUGAGCGUGAUGUCAUCCUAUGGAACACCAUGGUCUGUGGGUACACCAGGCAUGGAGACAUGGCUGCGGCGCAGGAACUCUUUGUGAGAAUGCCGGACAAGGACAUCAUAUGUUGGAACACCAUCUUGCUUGGUUAUGCGAAUGGUGGAGAUCUUGAGGCUUGCGAGCGGUUGUUCGAGGAGAUGCCGGAAAGAAAUGUGUUCUCUUGGAAUGCACUGAUUGGAGGGUUUGCUCGUCAUGGCCGGUACUACGAGGUCUUGGAUGCCUUAACUCGGAUGCUGGGAUUGUCUGAUGUCAAGCCAAAUGAUGCAACUCUUGUGAUGGUAUUGUCUGCCUGCUCGAGGCUAGGGGCUCUCAACUGGGGAAGAUGGAUUCAUGUCUACGCCGAAGGCAAUGGAUUCAAAGGAAAUGUAUAUGUUGGAAAUGGACUUAUUGACAUGUAUGCAAAAUGUGGCUGCAUAGAGGAUGCAGUCUCUGUGUUUGAUGGCAUGGAAACAAGGGAUCUCAUCACUUGGAAUUCGAUGAUUGGAGGGCUCGCGAUGCAUGGACAUAGCAUGGAGGCAUUGGAGCUUUUCGAUCGGAUGAAGGACACGGGAGAAAAACCCGAUGGUAUCACACUUGUUGGAGUGCUAUCUGCUUGCGUGCACAUGGGUCUGGUUAAAGAGGGGUUCAUGUACUUCAGAUCGAUGACAAAGGACUGUGCAAUUGUUCCUUGGUUAGAGCAUUAUGGAUGUAUGGUAGACCUCCUUGGCCGAGCUGGCUUGCUUGAUGAGGCAUUGAAUUUUGUAAGGAAGAUGCCAAUUGAACCUGAUUGUGUAAUAUGGAGUGCUUUGCUUGGAGCAUGUCAGGUUCACAGAAAUGUUGGAUUGGCUGAGCUUACCAUGAAUCAGCUUGUAAGGCUUGUGCCAGAGGAUGCAGCUAAUUAUGUGGUGCUCUCUAACAUUUAUGGAGCUAAUCGGAGAAGGGAAGAUUUUGCUAAACUGAAGUUGAUGAUGAAAGAAAGGACUAUGGGGAAGUUUCCCGGCUGUAGCUUGAUUGAAGUUGACUCUGAGGUGGUUGAGUUCUUUUCAUCAGAUACAAGGCAUUCGCAAACUAGGAAGAUAUAUGGGGUAUUGGAGGGAUUAACAAAGCUGUCAAAGUCAUCAGGGAAUGAGACCGAGCUUGAUGACCUAUGUUAAGUAAAUGCCUGGACGAGUCAUCAAGCUUGAGGACAAUAAUUCAGGCAAGGGUAACUAUCCCAAACUACUACCUGUACUUCCAUGUUGAGAAGCCUGGCUGAAGUCUAGGAUGGACAUUGGCCCUGGAAGAGGUUAUUUGGUCCAUGCUUGGAUCUCUUGCCACACAUCAAGGCAACAUCUUCAAAUUCAAAUUCUGCAUCCUUCAUUCUUGCAAGAGAGAUCCAGUCAUCACCGAUCUCACGACGGAGGCGGUGCCUUAAAAUCGAAGCUUCUGUCUGCUUGGGCCAUUGACCAGCCUACUUCCUUCUCAUCUUUUGACCUCAUUGUAGGUAGCCUUGACAGAAGCCCCAGAACCUCAAACUCCUCACACCAGGCCUGGGCUACACUCGUGGUCUAUUGGAGGAUGACACUCCUACAGUGUCUCAGUUGGGUGAGGGAGAAGAGAGGAGCAGGUUUUCAGUAAGACUUCUAGACAGAUGAUUGUCCACAAUUCACAUAUAGUUUCUGACUGCCUUUGAUCUCAUUAGUUUGUUGUGAACAAGUCAUAACCCUCUUGAAGGACUAAGGAAAAUAUUCUUAAGUGGUUGGCAGGAACAUGAUAAUCAGCAUGCACCUACUCUAGAUUUGUGGUGACAAGGCAUUGGCUUGUUGCAUAUUGCUAUCAACAUUCUACAACUCUAAAAUCACACCAUGCUCAGUCUGCAGCUGCGGUUGCCAGGCCACAGGCAACAAAAGACCACUAUGUGCAGGUUGUGUAUUUUUUCGAGUGCUACGUCAUUCUUUAAUUAUGGAUCUCAUUAUGGUUGUUGCAAUCAAUCAAUCUAAUCAUGGGAGGCAAAGAGUGAAGAACUUGUUAGAAUCAUGCUAUCCCUUGAGCAUGGAACGUUGUUCUUCAGAAAACAUUGCAAACUAGCUCGUUCAUGCUAAGGUGCAUGGUUGCGCAUCUUUAGAGAUCAUUCUACUAACUUUGGCUCCAGUUAGUUGAUAAUUUCUUACUCUAAACUCUGGUGCAGAAACAGUGAGAUGAAGUGAUUGCCAGGAGAUGACCCGAGCCGUUUUAACUUGGUCGGCUGCACUGACCACUCGUGGCCAGUCCGAGUUCAUUGGCAUGUGAAAUCUAAUCAUAGAGAUCACUAGAAAGUAGAAGUAAUAGUGUCAAAUGACCGCUUUGCUUACAAUUUUUCUGACUGGAACUAUGUGAUUCAGCGCCUACCUUUGGUCAGCGUACUCUUACAACAGCUUCAACUCCAACAGACUGUCUACUGCAGGAAACGUGGAUGAGACAGCCAACUUUUGGGGUAUAAAGUACUACAACAAAGAGCUUCUGCAGACAGGAACCAGGCUGAGUCAUGACGGAGAUGGUUCUGCGCAAGGAUCCUGAAUCAUUCACAUUGAGGAACGGCUGCGCCUUCCCCUUGAAAAGUCUAUUUUAAUGGAGAAAUCUGUGAAAUGCCUAUGCCAGAUGACUUCCCAGCGCCACCAAACACUGGUUCCAGUCCCUCAAAUGCUUGCUGUCUUCUCUUAAGUGUAUUCUCCAUGAUUAUUCUCUUCCAUUAGAAAUUCUAAAUCUUGCUUUGUAAUCAAUAAAAGAAAUGCAUUACUGGAUGUCUAAGACACUGCUAAUCUACACUAAAAAAAUUAUUUUACAUGCAUGCUUGCAA